AAUGCACACAUUUAAUUUUAGCUACAGCAAAAGUAAUUAUCAAUUAAAAGGAAGUGGGGAGAGGAUAAUGUAUUUCUCUGAAGCCUUUUGUCAUUUUAAAGGGAAAGCAUUUCUUUUUAUUCCAGGGAUAAAGUGUCACAGAAGACAAGAACACUGGUGAUCGUACCACAUGUCCAGCAUGUGGGUGUGGACAAUGAACCCAUAGGACGGCAUGUUUGACCUGGUUCAGCCUGGUCCCCAGAGAAUAACCACGGAGAUCUGCGCCAGAGCAGACUCUUUGGCUUCUGCUGUGGAUCCUUCGACCUUCUGGCAUAGAUUCUUCAGCCUUCCACCACAGACCCAUCGGCCUGGUACGGAUUUGCCCAGACACUGCAGUGAGCUCCAGACCUCAGACUGAAACCUUCAGUCUCCAGUGCACAGACACCCUCUGCAUGCUUCCUCAUCUGACUCUGGCUGACUGAUCUGUGUUACACCUAUUUCUCUAGUAAACACUGACUGAU